rnacentral:rRNA from 1 species
UACAGAGGCCUCGAGCGUUAGGCGGAAUCACUGGGCUUAAAGCGUGUGUAGGCGGACUUCUAAGUACCUUGUGAAAUCCCACGGCUCACCCGUGGAACUGCUCGGUAUACUGGUCGUCUUGAGCCUUCUAGGGGCGAGUGGAACAAAUGGUGGAACGGUGAAAUGCGUAGAUAUCAUUUGGAACGCCAAUGGUGAAAACAACUCGCUGGGGAAGUGCUGACGCUGAGACACGAAAGCCAGGGGAGCGAACGGG